rnacentral:rRNA from 1 species
UACAGGGGGUGCAAACGUUGCUCGGAUUUACUGGGCGUAAAGGGCGCGUAGGCGGCCACCGCAAGUCGACUGUGAAAUCUCCGGGCUUAACUCGGAAAGGUCAGCCGAUACUGCGGGGCUAGAGUGCAGAAGGGGCAACUGGAAUUCUCGGUGUAGCGGUGAAAUGCGUAGAUAUCGAGAGGAACACCUGCGGCGAAGGCGGGUUGCUGGGCUGACACUGACGCUGAUUGUGCGAAAGCUAGGGGAGCGAACGGG